UCGUAACAAGGUCUCCGUUGGUGAACCAGCGGAGGGAUCAUUACUGAGUUAUCUAAACUCCCAACCCUAUGUGAACCUUACCGUCGUUGCCUCGGCGGGCUGUGCUUACCCGGUAGCUACCCUGUAGCUACCCGGUAGGUACGCUGCAAGCCCGCCGGUGGACCACUAAACUCUGUUUAAUUAUACUGUAUCUCUGAAUGCUUCAACUUAAUAAGUUAAAACUUUCAACAACGGAUCUCUUGGUUCUGGCAUCGAUGAAGAACGCAGCGAAAUGCGAUAAGUAAUGUGAAUUGCAGAAUUCAGUGAAUCAUCGAAUCUUUGAACGCACAUUGCGCCCGCUAGUAUUCUAGCGGGCAUGCCUGUCCGAGCGUCAUUUCAACCCUUAAGCCUAGCUGCUUAGUGUUGGGAAUCUGCCCUGUACCUACAGCGCAGUUCCUCAAAGUAAUCGGCGGAGUUAGGGCAUACUCUAAGCGUAGUAAUAUUUCUUCUCGCUUCUGUAGUUGUCCUGGCGGCUUGCCGUUAAACCCCUAUAUUUCUAGUGGUUGACCUCGGAUCAGGUAGGAGUACCCGCUGAACUUAAGCAUAUCAAGCAAAAGAAACCAACAGGGAUUGCCCUAGUAACGGCGAGUGAAGCGGCAACAGCUCAAAUUUGAAAUCUGGCCCUCGCGGUCCGAGUUGUAAUUUGUAGAGGAUGCUUUUGGUUAGGUACCUUCCGAGUUCCCUGGAACGGGACGCCAGAGAGGGUGAGAGCCCCGUACGGUUGGAUACCGAGCCUCUAUAUAGCUCCUUCGACGAGUCGAGUAGUUUGGGAAUGCUGCUCUAAAUGGGAGGUAAAUUUCUUCUAAAGCUAAAUACCGGCCAGAGACCGAUAGCGCACAAGUAGAGUGAUCGAAAGAUGAAAAGUACUUUGAAAAGAGGGUUAAAUAGCACGUGAAAUUGUUGAAAGGGAAGCGUUUGCGACCAGACUUUUUCCGGGCGGAUCAUCCGGUGUUCUCACCGGUGCACUUCGCCCGGUUUAGGCCAGCAUCGGUUCUCCUAGGGGGAUAAAGGCGGGGGGAACGUGGCUCCUUCGGGAGUGUUAUAGCCCCCCGCGUAAUACCCCUCGGGGGACCGAGGAACGCGCAUCUGCAAGGAUGCNGGCGUAAUGGUCGCCAACGACCCG
rnacentral:rRNA from 1 species